rnacentral:lncRNA from 1 species
GCUUGACUUGAUAUUAGCUUUAUCAUGCAUAGAUAGCUACUAGAACACACCCGCGUUAUCGCGGGCUUUCACAGCUUUUAAACUGUUGUAGGAUGAUUUUUUGUAAAAAAUUUAUGUCUGGGGAAUUUCAGAAAAAGUAUCAAAAGCCCUCUCCCUUUUUCCAAAAUCCGUUAUUUGUUACCUUUCUGUUAAAUUCCAUUAUUUUCGCGUUUCUUGCCUCGCACCACAAUUAUUUUUCCCCUUUGCUACAAUGUAUUUUUAGGUAAAAGUCAAAUUAAAUUAAAAAAAUUGCAC